GUAGGUGGCAAGCGUUGUCCGGAAUUAUUGGGCGUAAAGCGCGCGCAGGCGGUUCUUUAAGUCUGAUGUGAAAGCCCACGGGCUCAACCGUGGAGGGUCAUUGGAAACUGGAGAACUUGAGUACUGAAGAGGAAAGCGGAAUUCCACGUGUAGCGGUGAAAUGCGUAGAGAUGUGGAGGAACACCAGUGGCGAAGGCGGCUUUCUGGUCUGUAACUGACGCUGAGGCGCGAAAGCGUGGGGAGCAAACAGGAUUAGAUACCCUGGUAGUCCACGCCGUAAACGAUGAGUGCUAAGUGUUAGGGGGUUUCCGCCCCUUAGUGCUGCAGCUAACGCAUUAAGCACUCCGCCUGGGGAGUACGGCCGCAAGGCUG
rnacentral:rRNA from 1 species